rnacentral:rRNA from 1 species
UACGGAGGGUGCAAGCGUUAUCCUGAUUCACUGGGUUUAAAGGGAGCGCAGGCGGGCUGGUAAGUCAGUGGUGAAAUACCUGAGCUUAACUCGGGAACUGCCAUUGAUACUAUCAGUCUUGAAUAUCGUUGAGGUUUGCGGAAUGGGUCAUGUAGCGGUGAAAUGCAUAGAUAUGACCCGGAACACCUAUUGCGAAGGCAGCAGGCUAAGCGAAGAUUGACGCUGAGGCUCGAAAGCGUGGGGAUCAAACAGG